UACAGAGGGGGCAAGCGUUGUUCGGAAUUACUGGGCGUAAAGGGUGUGUAGGCGGUUUUCUAAGUUUGGUGUGAAAUCUCCCGGCUUAACCGGGAGGGUGCGCCGAAAACUGGGAGACUAGAGUGCGGGAUGGGAGAGUAGAAUUCCUGGUGUAGCGGUGAAAUGCGUAGAUAUCAGGAGGAAUACCGGUGGUGCAGACGGCUCUCUGGACCGCAACUGACGCUGAGACACGAAAGCGUGGGUAGCAAACAGG
rnacentral:rRNA from 1 species